GGAUAGCCUCGCGGCUCUGCCCCGACCCUUGGUUAUUCCCCUCCGCCCCAAGCCUGGAGAGGCUCCUGGGAGGCCGGCUGCACCGCGUGGUCCGACCGCUUGCAGCCUCUCCCGCGUGGCCGCAGGCAGAGUCCUGACCUUGGCACCAUCCACGCCCCCUCCAAAUUGGAGAACGCCGUAGGUGCGGGCCAGAUCGUGGAUGUACCUCUAGUCUUCACUGGUAUAGAGUGAGCUGGAGUUGUGAGGUUGUAAAGGGGGUACCUGGUGGGUUCGCUGGAGAAAGGGGGGAAACUCUGGGUUGUUGGAAGGUCCCAGAUUCCCGCGGGACCACCAAAGUGCGAUUUCUCUUUCUCGUGUUUGGAGCGACCAGGGACUGCAUUGCGAGGUCGUUGAAACUAAGCAAAACGACAAGCUAGUUACACAAGCCUGAAACAGAUCGCAAACCUUUAGGUGCCCACGCGUGCACCGUGCUUCUUGUCCAAGCGCUUUUUCUUAAGCCUGCUCCGGGACGGGUGGAGUAAGUGCUCCUUUCACGGUCCCAGAGUCUGAUUCAGCCGGGACCUUGCCUUCACGAUGCCUCAGGACCGGAUCCUUUCUCAGAGCAUGGCCAGGAUGGUGGGCCCCUCCCACCCCUUUGUGUAAACAAGAAACUUCUUUCACAAAUGAGGUUUGAGCUGUGUCUUAGUAAUACCUCAGGCACCCUUCUCCCAUCAGACCCAGCUUGGAGACAGUCCCACUAUCUUCUUUCCGAAGGUGGAAUGCUACUUUCUGUUUGAGAGGUCAGGCAGUGUUUGCAAACGUAACCAGAGCAGGUGUCCCAAAGUCCCUGCCAAACAGCUGAGAGACUCAGCCCAGGAGAGAGAGGCACGUUUCAUAGCCUAUCCUUCCUGACCAGGUAGUUGUAGGGAGAAAGUGGCGAGGGGAGGCUUUCCAGGAUCAGAAGUACUGGAGUCACCGCCCAGACGGGGAAGGGACUCUGUUGAUGUGGGAGUUAGUGUUGGGGGGACUGGAUUCUACGGGAGAACAAUGAGAAAUGGCUGCGUGGUGAGGGCUGUUCCUCAGGGAAUGGAGGUUAAAGCCUCUGGGGGUGGCCUGGGACUCCAGCAUGGCCUGAAAGGUUAGAGUAUUCCACUGGAAGGGCCUGUGUCUCUUGAGGAGGGGUGCAAUUCGAGGAAGAUGGGAGCAGCUUAGAGGACCCCAGUCUACAGUUGACACAAUCAGAAGGGAUGACAAGUUUGUGGCCUGCCUUGGCAAUUUCAUGGUGCAUCUUCACACGCAGUCUUUUGGAGGGGGAGCCUCCUAGUACCCUUCAAAAGCCAGAUGGACUUUCAACCUGAUCCCUGGACAUCAAGGCUGCGGUUCUUGUCCGGCACCCGAGAACUGCCUAGGAACCCCAUCUGCUGAGAAGCCCUCUCCAGACUCUACCUCAGGCAGGAACAGUUCAUCGUCAGAGCUUAACAUGUGCCCAGAAACUUGUCCUUGCAAGCAACAACUCUCUUAAGCAUCACCGAGCCCCGGAUACCCAAACCCCGAAAUGUCAUUUUUACAGUAUGUGGCAAUAUAGAGAAGUUCUUUGACAGUGUUUGGUGACCAGGAGGAACGGUUACAGCAAACCUGGGAUUGGGGUGUAGUGGUUUUACACCUUUCUCUAGGUCAGCUCCCUUAGCGGCUGUCAUCAGCCAUAUCUCCCCCCACCCCCAGCCCCAACCUCAGUCGGUGAGAUUCUGUGAUGAGAUGCAAAACUGGAGGCUUAUGGUGAAAGUCUCUGUAACAAAGGAAUUAUCCGGACCGGUCCCCUCCAGCUUUCCUCCUAAGCUGGUGGCUGGAGCACACCCUAGAGGUAAACAACCUUUAUCCUGGGAUUCUUUUGGUGCUUUUCCUUUGCCACAGGGCUAGUCAGACCUUUGCACUCCACUUUCCUAUCUGUGAAGUAGAAUGGAGGGACAGAAGGGGACCGUUCUUUCCACUGCUGUAGAUGUCUUGGCUUUCAUGGUCCUUGGCUGAUGAAAAGGAAGACUGAUUUAGUCCUCUUUGGUUGAUAGCCGGAUGGUGCAUAAAUCCGGGUCAGGAGAAAGAUGGGUUGCCCCAUUCUCAGACUGGGCCCCACACUUGUGUGCCUGCGGACGAGGUAGUGUACUUUCCAAGCCACAGCUUCCUACUGAAGUGAUCGCAGGUUCGCAGGUCGUCUUCAUCUGAGCAACGGGAAGGGGAACAGGUUUAACAUUGUUGCCAACCCACUAGUAUCAGCGGCCCCUGGGUACUGCUGUGAAUUGAAUGGGUGUAUUGGGUGCUUCAUGGGCUUGAGCCUCAGGAUUCUGCUGCUGUUAGCAAUUGGCAGUCGGAAUGUGGCUGCUUCCCAGAGACAGGGGGAGGCUGGCUGUCUUAAUGAGCCCAGGGUGAGUUGUGAAGAGCUUCCUGGAGUGUUUUCGUAUGGAGAUUUUUAAAUAAAAAAAGGAUCUGCAGGGGGUGGGAGAGCUCUCCCUAGGGUCACUAAGCUAGGAUGAAUUGUAAGGUGUAGGGGAAAUGCAGGCUGGGGUGUGGGGGAUUGGAGCCACUCUAGGGAGUUUGAGGUAGGCUCUGUGAGGAAUUCUAUAGGGGAGGGAACCAGCCUCUGGGUUGAAGGGAAGGUUCCAGAAGUGGGGAGGAGACAGGGGUUUUCUGACAGGAUUCUUUCUGAGGUAUUCAUCAACAGAGGUAGCCAGACUGAGAGACAGACUGAGAGUCACUAAAGGCACAGAGACUUCAGGUGGGGUGUGGCCUCCGUCCUCUGGAGGUCACGCUACCUCUGUGGAAUGUUAGACUCAGGUGAAGAGAGCCAGAGAGUCUGCCUCUCUUCCUUGGCCCCUCCCUUCACAGAGAGGACACUACCUUUGGAAGCUGAGGGGGAGGGACCAUGGGGUUAGGGUCGCCUGGGGAGGAGGCUGUGGAAUGGGUUAUCUCUUGAGCCUGUGGAACCCUACUGGGCUCCAUAGCCUGCUGUGCCUUAGAGAGCCAGAACCUUGUGGUGAGCAUGUGCUCCUUGGCUGUUGACCUGAAAGAGAAUCGCAGCAGCUUGACUCCUGGGCAAAGAUGUCUACAUAGUGGACUCCCUGUCCAGUUGUGUAGUAGGAGCCAGUCUCUGCUCCAGCCAAUGCUGCCCUCCACAGCCAGAGACAUGAUGAAGCUGCUCUCUGCUUACCCACCUGAGCUGACCAGGAAACCCAGCAGACCUAGAGCCAGGAGGAUUUUCAGCUCUGGGCUCUGUGUCUGAGGCAGGGCAAGGAGCUCAGUUGAUACAGUUUACUGUCACAGCCUGUUCCCAGAAACACUAUGGGACAAGUCUUUCUGUUGUGUGUCUCAUCCACUUGGGAGGCUGUGAAAGAUCCAAGGAAGUGUCAGAUCUGGGAUCAUGACUCCCAGGGCCACAGAAGCCUAAGUGUGUUCUUUAAGUGAAGACUUCAAAGCCGGAUGUGGUGGAGCAUGUCCUUAGUACUGGCAUUCAGAAACGAGGGGAUUUCUGAGUCCCAGGCCAGCUACAUAGUGGCACCAUGUCUAAGAAAAAAAAAAAAGAGCAAGCUUUCAAGAAAAUAAUCUAUUCAAAAGAUAUUUUAUGGGAUGGGACAUGCUUGAACUCUCAGUGUAGCUUUUGGCACUGAAUAAACCCAGCAUGGUGGCACACAUCUAUAGAUCAAGCACUUGGGAGGCUGACUCGGGGUCACCAGAAGUUGAAAGUCAUUGGUUUCAUAGGAAACUGGAGGUCAGCCUAGGAUACAUGAGACCCUGUCCCUAAAAGGAAAACACUGUAAGGAGCUUCUCAUUUGCAGUAAUACUUGAGAUAAGGUUCCUUUAAGUAGCAGCCCACUGCUUAUUCAAAGUGGAAUCCAGGAACUCAGGGGGAAGCUCACAGGGUAGAAUGCUUGCCUAGAAUACACAAAGUCCCCAGUACCAGAGAAAGUGAGCGCAGUCUGUAAUCCUAGUACUUGGAGGGCAUGGGAGGGAGGAAAAUAGGAAGGUCUAGGUCAGCCUAGGCUACAGGAGACCCCCGUCUCAAAGUAAAACACGUAAACGACGGAAACCGGUUGCCCAAGGAUAGUUUCUAUACCAUCUCUGCAAAACUGUUCUAAGACAGACUCCAAGGGCCAAGAGCCACCUGCAACUCACCU
rnacentral:sRNA from 1 species